CUUAAUCUGACCAAGUUACGUAGGCUUCUAAAAUUUUUAGGAACUGCGGAAAGUACUGGAAAGCACUAGCUUUCACGUGACGUCACAUAGCGAUGCCGCGAGAGCGCGGAAUGCAGAUGGAGGGCAGGAAGUGAAGUAGCCGAGGAUUUGCCAUCUGUCCAGUGGCAGAAUACGAGCCCAUGUUUUGUGCCGUUUACGGCUGCUCCAAUCGCUUCAGCAGAGAAAAGGAAAAGCAUUAUUAUCAAGUGCCAAAGGUUGUCAUUCAUAAAGGUGAAAGAUGUAAAAAAAAAAAAAAAAACUAACCGAAAAACAACGUAAAAAGUGGAUUACAAAUCUACAUCUGCGGUCGGGAGGAACAGAGUCUUCUAAUGCGAGUGUCUGUAGCAACCACUUCAAGCGGUGCACCUGUGUGAUUAAAGAGGUCUGAGAUGCUAUGACACAGCAUGAAAGGAUAAGCAAAAGCAGAGCUGACUGGUUCUUGUAGGGAGCUGAUAAUACUGUACAUGAAGAUCCUAUUCAGGUAAUUGCUUGCAGCUGCCCCACCGAAGAGGCAUCGAUUCCCCCCUCGCUGUCUCCCCCUUCAUGCCUUAGAUCCUGCAGACCACUCUGAUGUACCUGACGCUCCAACACGCCAGAGCCACUGCUGAGGAGUACCCAGAGGGCGCUGACGUUCCGGGUUUCCUGGGUAACAGGUGCAAGUCAUCUACUGAUUGAUGUCUGGGUGUAUUUAAGCAGGAGGCUGCCAGUACCUCAUCGCUGACAGUGGUGACCGACCAUGUUUGAUUCCAGUCUUUCGCUAACACUAAAGCACAGUGGAUGUUCUGGAUUUUGGCCAAGGUCUUCAGUUCAGGAUUCAAACCUCAAGCACCCUCUUUGGACAACUACCUAGCUGGCAGCUUCCUGGCUACUCACCAACACCCAAGUCGUCAACAGCCUGUCCACCCUCCAUCGCACUCAAACCCGGACAUAACUCCAGCCCCUCGGAUUCAACUUACCUUAUCACAAUGACCUCAGUGUUGAGCUUCGCGACUCUGCAUCUCCAAUUCCCCUGGCGGUUCUGGUCACACUCCCCUAUAAGAUACAACCUUUAUUUAGCUACUAGUUUUCUCACGGAGGUAUUAAACUCACCUGCUCUUCCUGUUUUUACACAGUUGGUGGUUCCAGGUCCCAGACUUACCACCUCAUCGGUUACAAUAAAUAUCUUAAACUUC